UNAAAGAGAUAGGAGUUGAA
rnacentral:tRNA from 1 species